rnacentral:misc_RNA from 1 species
AACGCACAUUGCGCCCCUUGGUAUUCCAUAGGGCAUGCCUGUUCGAGCGUCAUUUCAAACCUUCAAGUAUAUAUUAUUUAUUGCUUGGUGUUGAGCGUUUGUCCCUGGCUUAAGUUCGCGGACUCGCUUUAAAGCUAUUGGCGGUUGAUCUUCCGGCUCUUAAGCGCAGCAAAGUUGGCGCCCGAGACGUUGGUAGACAGCAUCCAUUAAGCCUAUUUUUUUUUUCUCGUCUUGACCUCGGAUCAGGUAGGGAUACCCGCUGAACUUAA